GAAAAAGGAGAAGAACGGCGACUGGAGCGGCGUGGCAGAGGGAGUGGGAAGGUGGCCUUACGCUGGGGGAAAUCCCUGCAAAAGCGAGAAAAAUACUGGCUGAUCUCGCUUCUCUGUGCCAUGGGAAGGAGGCAAGAGGACAGCAAGGGUGUGAGCACUUGGACAAUAAAGCACAAAGCGCCCGCAUUUGUGUGCUGAACUUGGAAGGCCCGCAGUGAAUCUCUAGUGGGCAAGGCUGGAAGGCCCAAUGGCCCCGAAUCAUUUGCAUCCCGAGCCCUUUGGACGAAGGUCUGAGGGAAGGAGGCACCGGCGUGCAGCUGCAGCCUAAUCUUGAAUCUCAAGUUCAGUACAAGGAAUGUUCAACCAAACAUCUUGGAGCAAAUGGAACAGGCUGGGGGUAAGCCUAAAGAUUAAUAGAUGUCUGAGCUGAUGAACGUUAGC
ensembl:lncRNA